rnacentral:lncRNA from 1 species
UCCGUUUCAUGUGUUAAAUACGGGAUCCAAGAUGGUUUUUUUUCGCUUGUUAAAAUUGAGCCUAUCAAACGUGUUUAAACUACGUGUUUAACCAACGUGUUUAACCAAUGUUUAACCAACGUGUUUAACCAACCAACCAACCAAUCAAUCAAUCAAUGCAUGUUUCCGUUUCAUGUGUUAAAUACGGGAUCCAAGAUGGUUUUUUUUCGCUUGUUUAAAUUGAGCCUAUCAAACGUGUUUAACCAGCCAACGUGUUUAACCAACAUGUUUAACCAACGUGUUUAACCAACCAACCAACCAACCAAUCAACCAAUCAAUGCAUGUUUCCGUUUCAUGUGUUAAAUACGGGAUCCAAGAUGUUUUUUUUUUCGCUUGUUUAAAUUGAGCCUUUCAAACGUGUUUAACCAGCCAACGUGUUUAACCAACGUGUUCAACCAACAUGUUUAACCAACGUGUUUAACCAACCAACCAACCAAUCAAUCACUUAAUGUAUGUUUCCGUGUCAUGCGUUUAAUACGGGAUGCAAGGUCUCUUGAGGUUUUUUCCCUUGUUCUAAGUGACCCUAUCAAACGUGUUUAAUCAACCAACCAACAAACCAACCAAUCAAUCAACCAACUAAUCAAUCAAUCAAUAUGUAUGACUGUUUAUUUAUGACAGUAUAUUGAAGGAACAAACUCUCAAUUAUUCAAGAAAAUUUUUAUUUUAUUAUUGUUCUUACGUCUCUUCUGAAAAAAAAUCCACAUAUUCUCUGAAACUACAAGUCCAAUCGACCUGAAAAUUUGCAGUCAGCAGGGCA